CAAGACCUGCACUUUUGGAGCGGCCGAUGUCUGAUUAGCUAGUUGGUGGGGUAAUGGCCUACCAAAGCGUCGAUCAGUAGCUGGUCUGAGAGGACGGCCAGCCACACUGGGACUGAGACACGGCCCAGACUCCUACGGGAGGCAGCAGUGGGGAAUUUUGGACAAUGGGCGCAAGCCUGAUCCAGCCAUGCCGCGUGAGUGAAGAAGGCCUUCGGGUUGUAAAGCUCUUUCAGCCGGGAAGAAAAGGUUGCGAUUAAUAAUCGCAAUUUAUGACGGUACCGGAAGAAGAAGCACCGGCUAACUACGUGCCAGCAGCCGCGGUAAUACGUAGGGUGCGAGCGUUAAUCGGAAUUACUGGGCGUAAAGGGUGCGCAGGCGGUUUUGUAAGUCAGAUGUGAAAUCCCCGGGCUUAACCUGGGAACU
rnacentral:rRNA from 1 species